rnacentral:rRNA from 1 species
GAUGAACGCUGGCGGCGUGCCUAAUACAUGCAGGUCGAGCGAACAGACGAGGAGCUUGCUCCUCUGACGUUAGCGGCGGACGGGUGAGUAACACGUGGAUAACCUACCUAUAAGACUGGGAUAACUUCGGGAAACCGGAGCUAAUACCGGAUAAUAUAUUGAACCGCAUGGUUCAAUAGUGAAAUACGGUUUUGCUGUCACUUAUAGAUGGAUCCGCGCCGCAUUAGCUAGUUGGUAAGGUAACGGCUUACCAAGGCAACGAUGCGUAGCCGACCUGAGAGGGUGAUCGGCCACACUGGAACUGAGACACGGUCCAGACUCCUACGGGAGGCAGCAGUAGGGAAUCUUCCGCAAUGGGCGAAAGCCUGACGGAGCAACGCCGCGUGAGUGAUGAAGGUCUUCGGAUCGUAAAACUCUGUUAUUAGGGAAGAACAAAUGUGUAAGUAACUAUGCACGUCUUGACGGUACCUAAUCAGAAAGCCACGGCUAACUACGUG